AAGACUAUACUUUCAGGGAUCAUUUCUAUAGUUUGUGACUCGAGAAAUUUCUCUGAAUGUGUAGAGCACCCAGCCACAUGU
ensembl:snoRNA U3 Small nucleolar RNA U3